rnacentral:sRNA from 1 species
AUUUCUCUGUCUGCCUGGUUUCCUUCAAGAACUACUUUAUUGUGUUUCUUUCCUCUUCCAGCGGAACGGAAGCCCCCCCUUUUCAACAUGAAUGCAAUGAGUGCCUUAUAUCACAUUGCCCAGAAUGACUCCCCAACGUUACAGUCUAAUGAAUGCAUGACUUUGUUCGAAGAGACCGGCCACUACGUGUCCUCAUUGACCUCAUACAGAGGACAAAAGAUGCAGUUCGUGAGCUAGAUAACCUACAGUACCGAAAAAUGAAAAAAAUACUUUUCCAAGAGACACGGAAUGGACCCUUGAAUGAGUCACAGGAGGAUGAGGAAGUAGGUUCAAUUUAUUUUAGCAGGCACUUAUAGAAUGCCCACUAUGUGAAAAAGUUCUAGACUGGGCACUAUGAAAAACUUUUGAAGAUAAAAAUUAAUUGAUGUUGUCCGCCUUAAGAGACAUGAAGGGUUGUACAAGAGACAUUCAUAAAAUAACACUUAUAUAAGGCAAAAUAUGAAAAGUGCUACAGAGGUGUAACCCCAUUGCAGGGGUCCAUGAUGGGGAGAAAAUAAGUCUGCUGGUGGGAUUAGUGAAGGUUUCCUGGAGGACAUGAUGUGGGUAGUUUCUGACAAAUGGGCAUAGGGUAUUCUAGACUCAGAAAGGUGUUGUGCUUUAGGAAGAUUAUCCUAGCAACAGAGUGUAACAUGGAUUUGAAUGGGCAACAUCCUGGCUAAUAGUCCAUGCAAGAGGUAAUAAGGUCAGUGUCGAUGCAAAUGGGGAAAAGGGAACACUUUAGAGAAACAUCGUAGAGGUAGAUUUCAUAAUCCAUGGCUUCUCAUUGACAGUGACAGAUAAGGAGGAGUUUAAGGUGACUCUGAGCAUUGGAGCCUGGGUGGCUAGGAGUAUGUCAAUACCAAGAACAGAGAAAAAGAACCAGGGAGAAAAAGUAGAUUUAGGAUGAUUUCAGUUUCGUGCCUUUUGAGUUUAAGGUCCUGGCAUUAUAUACUCUUGCCAGUAUACAGAUAGAAGUUUUCAGUUAGAGAAUCCUUGAUGACCUUAGUAAAAGCAGUUUUACAGGACUAGGUAGAAUGAAUAGUAGAUUACUGGAGUUGUAUAAUUCAUGGGAGUUGAUAAGAGGGAGACAGGAAAAAAUAAUUAUGUUAAGAUUCAGAAAUUGGGUUAAGAAGGAAAAGUAAGAGUGGGCAGCAUGUAGAGAGAUCCAUAAAUAUAAGGCAGGCUUCUUCGUCUUUAAAUGCAGUGGAGAUGGAGCCAGGGCAGAGUCAGAGGCACCGAAGAUAGAAGAAAGGGAUAUAGUUAAAGAGGCAGGAUUUCAGAACGUAGACAUAACAAGAACAGGAGUAUUUUAGCUUUUUAACAGAAAAUAAAAUAAACAUAAAAGUAUUUUAUCAAUAAUUUUAAAAAUGAAGCUCGGAAAGUUGCAUUGAACUAUAAAAUUUCUUGAUUGCAUGUAUAGAAAUGAUCCCCUUUAAUUGGGAAAACAAGUCUGUUAAAAAUAUAAUGUAUUAUCUUCCAUUUUAUAUUACCCAGUAAUUUUUUAUAUUGCCAUGGCUAAGUAACAGUUUAUUAAAGUUAUAUGUGUACCAUAUGGUUUUUUGAGAACAAGGUUUAUUUGUAGCUAAAUGGAUUUAAUUUUAUUAUUCAAUCUUAUAUCAAAAGAUAUCCCACUGUGAUGGAUAAAUUAUAUGUUCUGAUUAUUUUACCACUUUUCAAAUAGUAGUCUUUGGGCCAGUAAUGAUGAAUACCAGAUAUAUAUAAUAAGAUUACAGAGAUAAGCAUGAUAGAAUCGCUUGAGGGAGGCAGACUUUAAUUACCUGUCCAGGAAAGUAGAAUUAAUAUUUCUGCUUAGAUAUGAAGUUACUCAAUAAUGACUUGCAGAAGGAGCAUAUUGCUUGUCAAAUAUCUGAAAACUCUUUCCACUCUACUUUUUCAAGUGACCACUGCUGUAUUUGCAGAUAUCCUAGAGCUCACCUGUUUAGUGGCCAGCAGUCUUCCUCUAGCUCCUUGAUGUUCCAGAAGGUCCCUUACAAACCUGGCUUGAUUUUGCUUACUGAAUAGCAACACGAUAAUAUGAUAGUGUGUAUGACAGGGGAAAGCCCUGGGAUGGCAGCAUUUGGAGCCUUAUGACCCAUGUCCAGAAUGGCCCCUGGGGAAGGCAUAGGAAGCAAAUAUGAGAUGUAUGAAAAUGGUGGAGGAGUAGUGGAGCCAGUACAUAAAAAGUUUGUCUUUGCAGAUUGGCAGAAAAGCAACUUGACACUGCAAAAUUGAGUGUGCUUGACACACACUGAGGUUUUUUCUAACCUCAGUGCCCCAUUUUUACAGGACAGUGAACAUGGAACCAGCCUGAACAGGGAAAUGGACAGCCUGGGCAGCAACCAUUCCAUUCCAAGCAUGUCCGUGAGCACAGGCAGCCAGAGCAGCAGUGUGAACAGCAUGCAGGAAGUCAUGGACGAGAGCAGUUCCGAACUUGUCAUGAUGCACGAUGACGAAAGCACAAUCAAUUCCAGCUCCUCCGUCGUGCAUAAGAAAGUAGGUUUCUUGGUACCCUCCACAGAGGUGAGCUUUGUCAAUCAUAGCGAAUCCAGUUCAAGUCACUUAGCUUCCAGAUGUUUCAGUUACCUUUUUGCAACUGCAGUGUGGUACUAAACCUGGCAUGUGACAGUUUUCUUACAGUCAAAAAGUAACAAAGGACUACACAGGCUACAUCUGUGCCUAUUUCUUCAUCUCCCUCUCUCAUUACUCUGAUGUCCAUCAUCAUCAAUAAAUAAGUUGAAGAAUUUGAUAAGUCCUUCUCUAAACCAAUAAUCUUAAUACUGUAGACCUUCAAGUCUUCCUGAGUGUACCUGUUGGUUAUGCCCUUUUAGAAGUAUGCUCUUUCAAAAGUAUGUUUCUUGGCUGGGCGUGGUGGCUCACAUCUGUAAUCCCAGCCCUUUGGGAGGCCUAGGCGGGUGGAUCACUUGAGGUCAGGAGUUUGAGACCAGCCUGGCCAACAUGGCGAAACCCCGUCUUUACUAAAAAUACAAAAAACAGCCGGGCCUGGUGACAUGUGCCUGUAAUCCCAGCUACUCGAGAGGCUGAGGCAGGAGAAUUGCUUGAACCCAGGAGGCAGAGGUUGUAGUGAGCCGAGAUCGCGCCAUUGCACUCCAGCCUGGGCAACAGAGUGAGACUCAAAAAAAAAAAAAAAAAAAAA